ACGGAAGGCAGCAGUGGGGAAUAUUGGGCAAUGGGCGAAAGCCUGACCCAGCGACGCCGCGUGAGGGAAGAAGAUCUUCGGAUUGUAAACCUUAGUCAACAGGGAAGAAGCAAGUGACGGUACCUGUGGAGGAAGCCACGGCUAACUCCGUGCCAGCAGCCGCGGUAAUACGGAGGAUGCGAGCGUUAUCCGGAUUUAUUGGGUUUAAAGGGUGCGUAGGCGGGAUGUUAAGUCAGCGGUUAAAUAGUGUAGCUCAACUAUACUUUGCCGUUGAAACUGGCGUUCUUGAGUGUAAACGAGGUAGGCGGAAUGUGACGUGUAGCGGUGAAAUGCUUAGAUAUGUCACAGAACCCCGAUUGCGAAGGCAGCUUACCAGGAUACAACUGACGCUGAGGCACGAAAGCGUGGGUAUCAAACAGGAUUAGAUACCCUGGUA
rnacentral:rRNA from 1 species